CAGGCUUAACACAUGCAAGUCGAGGGGCAUCAGGAAGAAAGCUUGCUUUCUUUGCUGGCGACCGGCGCACGGGUGAGUAACACGUAUCCAACCUGCCCUUUACUCGGGGAUAGCCUUUCGAAAGAAAGAUUAAUACCCGAUGGCAUAAUGAUUCCGCAUGGUUUCAUUAUUAAAGGAUUCCGGUAAAGGAUGGGGAUGCGUUCCAUUAGGUUGUUGGUGAGGUAACGGCUCACCAAGCCUUCGAUGGAUAGGGGUUCUGAGAGGAAGGUCCCCCACAUUGGAACUGAGACACGGUCCAAACUCCUACGGGAGGCAGCAGUGAGGAAUAUUGGUCAAUGGGCGCUAGCCUGAACCAGCCAAGUAGCGUGAAGGAUGAAGGCUCUAUGGGUCGUAAACUUCUUUUAUAUAAGAAUAAAGUGCAGUAUGUAUACUGUUUUGUAUGUAUUAUAUGAAUAAGGAUCGGCUAACUCCGUGCCAGCAGCCGCGGUAAUACGGAGGAUCCGAGCGUUAUCCGGAUUUAUUGGGUUUAAAGGGAGCGUAGGUGGACUGGUAAGUCAGUUGUGAAAGUUUGCGGCUCAACCGUAAAAUUGCAGUUGAUACUGUCAGUCUUGAGUACAGUAGAGGUGGGCGGAAUUCGUGGUGUAGCGGUGAAAUGCUUAGAUAUCACGAAGAACUCCGAUUGCGAAGGCAGCUCACUGGACUGCAACUGACACUGAUGCUCGAAAGUGUGGGUAUCAAACAGGAUUAGAUACCCUGGUAGUCCACACAGUAAACGAUGAAUACUCGCUGUUUGCGAUAUACAGUAAGCGGCCAAGCGAAAGCAUUAAGUAUUCCACCUGGGGAGUACGCCGGCAACGGUGAAACUCAAAGGAAUUGACGGGGGCCCGCACAAGCGGAGGAACAUGUGGUUUAAUUCGAUGAUACGCGAGGAACCUUACCCGGGCUUAAAUUGCAGUGGAAUGAUGUGGAAACAUGUCAGUGAGCAAUCACCGCUGUGAAGGUGCUGCAUGGUUGUCGUCAGCUCGUGCCGUGAGGUGUCGGCUUAAGUGCCAUAACGAGCGCAACCCUUAUCUUUAGUUACUAACAGGUUAUGCUGAGGACUCUAGAGAGACUGCCGUCGUAAGAUGUGAGGAAGGUGGGGAUGACGUCAAAUCAGCACGGCCCUUACGUCCGGGGCUACACACGUGUUACAAUGGGGGGUACAGAAGGCAGCUAGCGGGUGACCGUAUGCUAAUCCCAAAAGCCUCUCUCAGUUCGGAUCGAAGUCUGCAACCCGACUUCGUGAAGCUGGAUUCGCUAGUAAUCGCGCAUCAGCCACGGCGCGGUGAAUACGUUCCCGGGCCUUGUACACACCGCCCGUCAAGCCAUGGGAGCCGGGGGUACCUGAAGUACGUAACCGCAAGGAUCGCCCUAGGGUAAAACUGGUGACUGGGGC
rnacentral:rRNA from 1 species